GAAAUCAGUUCAGCACUAAGUCACUUUGUCUAUAUGGCAAAUGUGAGAUGCAGUGUAUGGAACAUCAAUAUUCUAGUAUGAGAAAUUAACGAUUUAAGUCCUUCUUAAAUGAGGCCAUUUACCCAUAGAGGGUGCCAGGCCCGUAUAACGUUAAUGAUUAUUAGAUGGUGUUUCCAAAGAGUCGUGUUGCUUGAUAGUGCAGCACUAAGUGGGUGGUAAACUCCAUCUAAAACUAAAUAUAACCAUGAGACCGAUAGUAAAAAAUACCGGAAGGGAAAGUUGAAAAGAACUCUGAAUAGAGAGUUAAAUAGUACGUGAAACUGCUUAGAGGUUAAGCCCGAUGAACCUGAAUAUCCGUUAUGGAAAAUUCAUCAUUAGAAUUGUAAUAUUUAAACAAUAUUAUAAGGAUAGUGUGCAUUUUUUCCAUAUAAGGACAUUGUAAUCUAUUAGUAUCAAACAAUUUAUCAAAAAAUUUUAGACAAAUGCUUAUUUAAAUUAGAAUGCUUGCAUUUUAACAUAAAAUAAAUGUCAUAAAUUUGAUAAAGUGCUGAUAGAUUUAUAUGAGUACAGUGCGUUAAUUUUUCGGAAUUAUAUAAUGGCAUGAUUAUCAUUGAUUUUUGUGUUUAUUAUAUGCACUUGUAUGAUAACAAUGCGAA
rnacentral:rRNA from 1 species